rnacentral:rRNA from 1 species
AGUGGGGAAUAUUGCACAAUGGGGGAAACCCUGAUGCAGCCAUGCCGCGUGUGUGAAGAAGGCCUUCGGGUUGUAAAGCACUUUCAGUUGUGAGGAAAGGGUGUACGCUAAUACCGUGCAUCUGUGACGUUAGCAACAGAAGAAGCACCGGCUAACUCCGUGCCAGCAGCCGCGGUAAUACGGAGGGUGCGAGCGUUAAUCGGAAUUACUGGGCGUAAAGCGUGCGUAGGCGGAUUGUUAAGCGAGAUGUGAAAGCCCCGGGCUCAACCUGGGAACUGCAUUUCGAACUGGCAGUCUAGAGUAUUGUAGAGGGUGGUGGAAUUUCCAGUGUAGCGGUGAAAUGCGUAGAGAUUGGAAGGAACAUCAGUGGCGAAGGCGGCCACCUGGACAGAUACUGACGCUGAGGCACGAAAGCGUGGGGAGCAAA